UCCUGCCGGACCUGACUGCUAUCGGAUUGAUACUAAGCCAUGCGAGUCUUUGUAGUAAUACAAGGCAGACGGCUCAGUAACACGUAGUCAACCUACCCUAUGGACAAGAAUAAUCUCGGGAAACUGGGCAUAAUUCUUGAUAGAUCAUAAUGCCUGGAAUGGUUUAUGGUUAAAAUGAUUCGUCGCCAUAGGAUGGGACUGCGGCCUAUCAGCUUGUUGGUGAGGUAAUGGCCCACCAAGGCGAUUACAGGUACGGGCUCUGAGAGGAGAAGCCCGGAGAUGGGUACUGAGACACGGACCCAGGCCCUAUGGGGCGCAGCAGGCGAGAAAACUUUGCAAUGUGCGAAAGCACGACAAGGUUAAUCCGAGUGAUUUCUGCUAAAGAAAUCUUUUGCCAGUCAUAAAACCACUGGUGAAUAAGGGGUGGGCAAGUUCUGGUGUCAGCCGCCGCGGUAAAACCAGCACCUCAAGUGGUCAGGAUGAUUAUUGGGCCUAAAGCAUCCGUAGCCGGCUUUGUAAGUUUUCGGUUAAAUCCAUGUGCUCAACGCAUGGGCUGCCGAAAAUACUGCAUGGCUAGGGAGUGGGAGAGGUAGACGGUACUCAGUAGGAAGGGGUAAAAUCCUUUGAUCUAUUGAUGACCACCUGUGGCGAAGGCGGUCUACCAGAACACGUUCGACGGUGAGGGAUGAAAGCUGGGGGAGCAAACCGGAUUAGAUACCCGGGUAGUCCCAGCUGUAAACGGUGCAGACUCGAUGAUGCAUUGGCAUAAUAGCCAGUGCAGUGUCGCAGGGAAGCCGUUAAGUCUGCCGCCUGGGAAGUACGUACGCAAGUAUGAAACUUAAAGGAAUUGGCGGGGGAGCACCACAAGGGGUGAAGCCUGCGGUUCAAU
rnacentral:rRNA from 1 species